AUGAACGCUAGCUACAGGCUUAACACAUGCAAGUCGAGGGGCAGCAUUUUAGUUUGCUUGCAAACUGAAGAUGGCGACCGGCGCACGGGUGAGUAACACGUAUCCAACCUGCCGAUAACUCCGGAAUAGCCUUUCGAAAGAAAGAUUAAUACCGGAUAGCAUACGAAUAUCGCAUGAUAUUUUUAUUAAAGAAUUUCGGUUAUCGAUGGGGAUGCGUUCCAUUAGUUUGUUGGCGGGGUAACGGCCCACCAAGACUACGAUGGAUAGGGGUUCUGAGAGGAAGGUCCCCCACAUUGGAACUGAGACACGGUCCAAACUCCUACGGGAGGCAGCAGUGAGGAAUAUUGGUCAAUGGGCGAGAGCCUGAACCAGCCAAGUAGCGUGAAGGAUGAAGGCUCUAUGGGUCGUAAACUUCUUUUAUAUGGGAAUAAAGUUUUCCACGUGUGGAAUUUUGUAUGUACCAUAUGAAUAAGGAUCGGCUAACUCCGUGCCAGCAGCCGCGGUAAUACGGAGGAUCCGAGCGUUAUCCGGAUUUAUUGGGUUUAAAGGGAGCGUAGGUGGAUUGUUAAGUCAGUUGUGAAAGUUUGCGGCUCAACCGUAAAAUUGCAGUUGAAACUGGCAGUCUUGAGUACAGUAGAGGUGGGCGGAAUUCGUGGUGUAGCGGUGAAAUGCUUAGAUAUCACGAAGAACUCCGAUUGCGAAGGCAGCCUGCUAAGCUGCAACUGACAUUGAGGCUCGAAAGUGUGGGUAUCAAACAGGAUUAGAUACCCUGGUAGUCCACACAGUAAACGAUGAAUACUCGCUGUUUGCGAUAUACAGUAAGCGGCCAAGCGAAAGCAUUAAGUAUUCCACCUGGGGAGUACGCCGGCAACGGUGAAACUCAAAGGAAUUGACGGGGGCCCGCACAAGCGGAGGAACAUGUGGUUUAAUUCGAUGAUACGCGAGGAACCUUACCCGGGCUUAAAUUGCAACAGAAUAUAUUGGAAACAGUAUAGCCGUAAGGCUGUUGUGAAGGUGCUGCAUGGUUGUCGUCAGCUCGUGCCGUGAGGUGUCGGCUUAAGUGCCAUAACGAGCGCAACCCUUAUCUUUAGUUACUAACAGGUUAUGCUGAGGACUCUAGAGAGACUGCCGUCGUAAGAUGUGAGGAAGGUGGGGAUGACGUCAAAUCAGCACGGCCCUUACGUCCGGGGCUACACACGUGUUACAAUGGGGGGUACAGAAGGCGGCUACCUGGUGACAGGAUGCUAAUCCCAAAAACCUCUCUCAGUUCGGAUCGAAGUCUGCAACCCGACUUCGUGAAGCUGGAUUCGCUAGUAAUCGCGCAUCAGCCAUGGCGCGGUGAAUACGUUCCCGGGCCUUGUACACACCGCCCGUCAAGCCAUGAAAGCCGGGGGUACCUGAAGUACGUAACCGCAAGGAGCGUCCUAGGGUAAAACUGGUAAUUGGGGCU
rnacentral:rRNA from 1 species